ensembl:misc_RNA RN7SL337P RNA, 7SL, cytoplasmic 337, pseudogene
GCCGUGUGUGGUGGCACAUGUCUGUAGUCCCAGCUACUUGGGAGGCUGAGUCAGUAGGAUCACUUGAGCCCAGGAGUUCUGGGCGAUUGUGAACUAGGCGAUCGGGCGUCUGCACUAAGUUUGGCAUCAAUAUGGUGAUGUUUUGGGAGCAGGGGACCACCAGGUUGCCUAAGGUGUCUGAGGAGGGGUUUCCAGGUUGGAAACGGAGCAGUUCGACACCCCCAAGCUGAUCAGUAGUGCGACUGCUCCUGUGAGUAGCCGCUGCACUCCAGCUUGGGCAGCAUAGCGCGACUCCACUUCU